rnacentral:rRNA from 1 species
GGGCUUGACAUCCCACGAACCUGCCUGAAAGGGCGGGGUGCCCGCAAGGGAGCGUGGAGACAGGUGGUGCAUGGCUGUCGUCAGCUCGUGUCGUGAGAUGUUGGGUUAAGUCCCGCAACGAGCGCAACCCUCACCCCUGGUUGCCACCGGGUAAAGCCGAGCACUCGAGGGGAACUGCCAGCGUCAAGCUGGAGGAAGGCGGGGAUGACGUCAAGUCAUCAUGCCCCUUACGCCCUGGGCUACACACGUGCUACAAUGGCCGGUACAAAGGGACGCGAGACCGCGAGGUGGAGCUAAUCCAAAAAACCGGUCUAAGUUCAGAUUGCAGUCUGCAACUCGACUGCAUGAAGGAGGAAUCGCUAGUAAUCGCGCAUCAGCACGGCGCGGUGAAUACGUUCCCGGGCCUUGUACACACCGCCCGUCACACCACGAAAGCUGUCUGUACUCGAAGUCGCUGAGA